rnacentral:rRNA from 1 species
CCCAGACUCCUACGGGAGGCAGCAGUGAGGAAUAUUGGUCAAUGGGCGCGAGCCUGAACCAGCCAAGUCGCGUGAGGGAGGACGGCCCUACGGGUUGUAAACCUCUUUUGCCGGGGAGCAACGGGCGUCACGUGUGGCGCCACUGAGAGUACCCGGAGAAAAAGCAUCGGCUAACUCCGUGCCAGCAGCCGCGGUAAUACGGAGGAUGCGAGCGUUAUCCGGAAUUACUGGGUGUAAAGGGAGCGUAGACGGUGAAGUAAGUCUGGAGUGAAAGGCGGGGGCCCAACCCCCGGACUGCUCUGGAAACUAUUUGACUGGAGUGCAGGAGAGGUAAGCGGAAUUCCUAGUGUAGCGGUGAAAUGCGUAGAUAUUAGGAGGAACACCAGUGGCGAAGGCGGCUUACUGGACGAUGACUGACGCUGAGGCUCGAAAGCGUGGGGAGCAAACAGGAUUAGAUACCCUCGUAGC